UAUAUUAAAGGGCUGCAGUAUAUUGACUGUACAAAGGUAGCAUAAUCAUUAGUCUUUUAAUUGAAGACUUGUAUGAAAGAUUUGAUGAAAUAUAGACUGUCUCUAAGUUAUUUAUAAAAUUUAAUUUUUUAGUUAAAAAGCUAAAAUAAUUUUAAAAGACGAGAAGACCCUAUAGAGUUUUAUAGAUUUAUUAUUUAAGAUUAUAUAUAUAAAUAAAAAUUAAAAUUAAUAAAUUUAUUUUAUUGGGGUGAUAAAAAAAUUAAAAAAACUUUUUUUAAAAAAUAAACAAAAAUAAAUGAUUAAAUGAUCCAUUAAUAAUGAUUAUAAGAAAAAAUUACCUUAGGGAUAACAGCGUAAUAUUUUUUUUUAGUACAAAUAAAAAAAAAAGUUUGCGACCUCGAUGUUGGAUUAAGAUAAAAUUUAAAUGCAAAAAUUUAAAAUUUU
rnacentral:rRNA from 1 species